UACGUAGGGUGCAAGCGUUAUCCGGAAUUAUUGGGCGUAAAGAGCUCGUAGGCGGUUUGUCGCGUCUGCUGUGAAAACUGGAGGCUCAACCUCCAGCCUGCAGUGGGUACGGGCAGACUAGAGUGCGGUAGGGGAGAUUGGAACUCCUGGUGUAGCGGUGGAAUGCGCAGAUAUCAGGAGGAACACCGAUGGCGAAGGCAGAUCUCUGGGCCGUAACUGACGCUGAGGAGCGAAAGCAUGGGAAGCGAACAGG
rnacentral:rRNA from 1 species